UAUCUCUCCGUACGGGGAAGGAUGAGAAGCUUCGACUAAGGUUCGAUUCGAGCGAAAGCGAGAAAGCGUUGCCGCAGGCAACGACCCGAAGGGCGAAGCGCGCAGCGCUGAGUAAUCCUUCCCCCACCAUCC
rnacentral:sRNA from 1 species